CUUUUGUAAAGGACUUUUCAAGGUGAUUUAUAUUAUUUUAAUGCCCCUAAUGUAUUUGAAUAUUUAAAAAAAAAAAAAUAUAUAUAUAUAUAUAUAUAUAAUUU